AGCGAUGGAAGCCCAACUAAGAACGCGACGUCCUGUCGCAACGUUGGACAAUGUACAUCGUGUACU
rfam:Tumebacillus sp. AR23208, complete genome.